GUGUAGCGGUGAAAUGCUUAGAUAUCGUCAAGAACACCGAUAGCGAAGGCAGCUUACUAGGCUGUAACUGACGCUGAUGCACGAAAGCGUGGGGAUCGAACAGGAUUAGAUACCCUGGUAGUCCACGCCGUAAACGAUGAUAACUCGCUGUUGGCGAUACACAGUCAGCGGCUUAGCGAAAGCGUUAAGUUAUCCACCUGGGGAGUACGCUCGCAAGAGUGAAACUCAAAGGAAUUGACGGGGGCCCGCACAAGCGGAGGAACAUGUGGUUUAAUUCGAUGAUACGCGAGGCACCUUACCUGGGCUUAAAUGUGCCCUGACCGCUGGAGAAAUCUGGCUUUCCGCAAGGACAGGGUACAAGGUGCUGCAUGGUUGUCGUCAGCUCGUGCCGUGAGGUGUCGGGUUAAGUCCCAUAACGAGCGCAACCCCUACUGCCAGUUGCUAACAGGUCAAGCUGAGGACUCUGGCGGGACUGCCACCGUAAGGUGCGAGGAAGGCGGGGAUGACGUCAAAUCAGCACGGCCCUUAUGUCCAGGGCUACACACGUGUUACAAUGGCCGAUACAAAGGGCAAGCUACCGGGGCGACCGGAUGCCAAUCCCAAAAAAGUCGGUCUCAAGUUCGGAUCGGAGUCUGCAACCCGACU
rnacentral:rRNA from 1 species